rnacentral:rRNA from 1 species
CCCUUAGAUGUCCUGGGCCGCACGCGAGUUACACUGAUGCAUUCAACGAGCUUAUAACCUUGGCCGAGAGGCCUGGGCAAUCUUGUUAACGUGCAUCGUGAUAGGGAUAGAUUAUUGAAAUUAUUAAUCUUGAACGAGGAAUUCCUAGUAAACGCAGAUCAUCAAUCUGCAUUGAUUACGUCCCUGCCCUUUGUACACACCGCCCGUCGCACCUACCGAUUGGAUGGUCCGGUGAAGCCUCGGGAUUGUGGUUCUUGCCGCUUUAUUGUGGCGUGACCGCGAGAACUUGUCUAAACCUUAUCAUCUAGAGGAAGGUGAAGUCGUAACA